rnacentral:lncRNA from 10 species
CCUUGCAACAUACAAAGUAGAUAGACUUUUCAGUAAACACUGAGAAAUUUUAUGUCCAAAAAAUGACCAAAAAUUCAGUAACAUCUUAAAAUGAAUUUGCAUUUUAUUUGUCACGCAGCUUGACAUACAUUUGAAAAGUAGUCAUAUAUGCAUAUAUACACACACACAUACAUACACACACACACAUAUAUAUAUAUAAAAUACAGGUUGAGUAUCCCAUAUCCAAAAUGCUUGGGAACAGAGUGCUUCAGAUUUUGGAUUUUGGGGGAUUUUGGAACGUUUGCAUGUGCAUAAAGAGAUCUCUUGGGGACAAGACUCAGGUCUAGACACAAAAUUUAUUUAUGUUUCAUAUAUACCUUAUAGACAUAGUCCAAAUGUAAUUUUAUACAAUAUUUUUAUAAUUUUAUGCAUGAAAUAAAGUUUGUGUACAUUGAACCAUCAGAAGGCAAAGGUGCCACUCUCCCAGCCCCCCAUGUGGACAAUCUGGUUGUUUGGCAUCACCAUCAUUCCUGACUCUGAAUUUAUAUGCUUCUGAUUAGCAAUCAUUUUCUUAUGCUAAUUCACACCUAAGUACUUGAUAGUAAAAAAUAUGACAUACCAUUAAUGCAGUAAAAAACUAAUGUGUUCAGGGUAACUGAGCAGCACAGUAGCAUCACCAGAAUGCCUGCAUCAACUGUAAAACAACAGCAACAAAUAACAGCAGGCUUUCAUUCCCCAUCUAUAAUGCUGUUUUGAUUAAAAAGUUACUGUACACUGUAUAUUUGGGGUGGGGAGUUGAGCCGGGCAUGAUGGUUCACGCCUCUAAUCUCAACACUUUGGGAGGCUGAGGUGGGAGGAUCACUUGAGGCCAGGGGCUAGAGACCAGCCUGGGUAACAUAGUGGGACCCUAUCUCUACAAAAAUAAAAGAAAUAAAAAUUUAAACAAAAUUAGCCAGGCAUGGUGGUUCAUGCCUGUAAUCCCAGCUACUUAGGAGGCCAAGGUGGAAGGAUCGCUUGAGCCCAGGCCCUCAAGGCUGCAGUCUUCUAUGAUCGUCCCAUUGCACUCCAGCCUGGGCAACAGAGCGAGACUCUCUCUCUCAAAAAAAAAAAAAAAAAAAGCCCACAAACAGUUGAAGGAUCAGGAAGAGGGUAUGCUGAGGCCGAGAUGGAGUCACUGGUGAGUUCCACCAAAUGUUUAAUGAAUAACACCGAUACUUCAUAAAUUAUUCCAAUAAGAUAGAAGAGGAAGGAAUACUUCACAUCUCAAUCCGUGAAGCCACUAUUACCCUGAUGCCAAACAAGACGAAGAUAUCAUGAGAAAAGCAUAGACCAAUAUAUUUUAUGAAUAUAGAUGUAAAAUCUUCAAGAAAAUGCUAGCAAACUGAAUUCAACAACAUAUGAAAAGGAUUAUACACCAUGCCCAAGCGGUAUUUAUCUCAGAAUGUAAGGUUGGUGCAGCAUAUGAAAAUCAAUCAAUAUACUAUGACAUAUUAAUAGAAUAAAGGACAAAAACUACACAGUCAUCUCAAUAGAGGCAGAAAAUACAUUUGAUAAGAUCCAACUCCAUUUCAUGAUGCCAAAAAAAAAAAAAAAAAACCUCAACAAAGUAGGCAUAGGAGAGAAUUUCCUCAAUCUGAAAGAGGGAAGAUAUGAAAAACUCACUGCUAACAUCAUACUUAAUGGUGAAAAAAAUGAAUGCUUUCCCUAAGAUCAGGAAGAGGAAAAGGAUGUACAUUCUCCCCACUUUUUUUUUCAACUAUUUUCUUAGAUUCAGGGGGUACAUGCGCAGGUUCAUUACACGGGUAAAUUGCACGUUGCUGAAGUUUAGUGUACAAAUGAUCCCAUUACCCAGGUAGUCAGAAUAGUACCCAACAGGCAGUUUUUCAACCCUUGCCCUGCUCCCACCCUCCCUCCUCUAGUAGCCCCCAGUGUCUAUUGUUCCCAUCUUUAUGUCCAUGUGUAUUCCAUGUUUAUCUCCCACUUCUGAGUGAGAACAUGUGGUAUUUGGUUUUCUGUUCCUGCAUUAAUUCACCUAGAAUAAUAGCCUCCAGCUGCAUCCAUGUUGUUGCAAAUAAAAUGAUUUCAUUCUUUUUAUGGCUGCAUAGUAUUCCAUGGUAUAUGUAUAGCACUUUUUUUUUAAUCCAGUCAAUCAUUGAUGGGCAUCUAGGUUGAUUCUGUAUCUUCGCUAUUAUGCAUACUGCUGCAUUGAACAUAUGAGUGCAUGUGUCUUUUUGGUAGAAUGAUUUAUUUUCCUUUGGGUAUAUACCCAGUAAUGGGAUUGCUGAGUCAAAUGGUAGUUCUGUUUUAGUUCUUUGAGAAACCUCCAAACUGCUUUUCACAGUGGCUGAACUAAUUUACUUUCCCACCAACAGUGUAUAAAUGUUCCCUUUUCUCCGCAACUUUACCAGCAUGUAAUUUUUUGACUUUUUAAUAAUAGCCAUUCUGACUGGUAUCUCAUUGUGGUUUUUAUUUGCAUUUCUCUGAUGAUUAGUGAUGAUGAACAUGUUUUCAUAUAUUUGUUGGCCUCGUGUACAUCUUCUUUUGAGAAGUAUCUGUUCCUGUCCUUUGCACAUUUUUUAAUGAGGUUGUUUUUGCUCAUUGAAUUGUUUUAGUUCGUUAUAGAUUCUGGAUAUUAGACCUUUGACAGAUGCAUAGUUUGCAAAUAUUUUCUCCCAUUUUGUAGGUUAUCUGUUUACUCUGUUGAUAGUUUCUUUUGCUGUACAGAAGCUCUUUAGUUUAAUUCGGUUCCACUUGUCAAUUUUUGGUUUUGUUGCAAUUGCUUUUGGGGACUUAGUCCUAAAUGCUUUGCCAAGGCUAAUGUCCAGAAUGGUAUUUCCAAUGUUUUCUUCUGAGAUUUUUAUAGUUUUAGGUCUUACAUUUACGUAUUUGAUCCAUCUUGAGUUAAUUUCUGUAUAUGAAAAAAGGUAGGGGUCCAGUUUCAUUCUUCUGCAUAUGGCUAGCCAGUUAUCCCAGCACCAUUUAUUGAAAAGGGAAUCUUUUCCCCACUGCUUGUUAUUGUUGACUUUGUUGAAGAUCCAAUGUUUGUAGGUGUGUGGCUUUAUUUCUGGGUUCUCUGUCCUGUUCCAUUGGUCUAUGUGUCUGUUUUUGUAGCAGUACCAUGCUCUUUUGGUUACUGUAGCCUUGUAGUAUAGUUUGAAAUUGGGUAGUGUGAUGCCUAUGGCUUUGUUCUUUUUGCUUAGGAUUGCUUUAGCUAUUUGGGUUCUUUUUGGUUCCAUAUACAUUUUAGAAUGAUUUUUUCUAAUUUUGUGAAAAAUGACAUUAGUAGUUUGAUAGGAAUAGUGUUGAAUCUGUAGAUUGCUUUCGGUGAUAUGGCCAUUUUAAUGAUAUUAAUUCUUCCAGUCCAUCAGCAUGGGAUAUCUUUCCAUUUGUUUGUAUCAUCUAUGAUUUCUUUUAGCAAUGUUUUAUAGUUCUCCUUAUAGAGAUCUUUCACCUUCUUGGUUAGACACAUCUAACUUUGUGAGUGUGGCUAUUGUAAGUGGAGUUGCAUUCUUGGUUUGGCUCUUAGCUUGAACAUUACUGGCAUAUAGAAAUGCUAAUAAUUUUUGUAUACUCAUUUUUAAAAAUAAUUUUUUAAGAGACGAGGUCUUACUACAUUGCCCAGUCUGGUCUUGAACUCCUGAACUCAAGCGAUGCUCCCACCUUUGCAUCCCAAAGUGCUG